AAGUCGUAACAAGGUUUCCGUAGGUGAACCUGCGGAAGGAUCAUUCCCCUUAAAAGCAGAAAUAUACUCUAUUGGUGAAAACUUUCUGUGGAUGAUAUUAUAUUUAUCCUCACAAAUUCUUUCUCUUUUUUUUUUAAAAACUAAAACAAUUAAAAUUGAUAGUGUUUUUUAACCGAAACAUUAUUGAGUGAGUUCUUUCUUAGCCUUUAUCGGCUCUGAAGGGAUUUUUAAUUUAACCAAAAACUUUUAUUAUAAAAUUAAAAAACAAUAACAAAAGAACAACUCUUAACAAUGGAUAUCUCGGCUCUUGC
rnacentral:misc_RNA from 1 species